rnacentral:rRNA from 1 species
AUGUCUUCCUCCGGCUCCUCCCAGAUCGGCCUCAACAGCCAGGUCACGGAGAAGCUCACCCGUACGAACUACGUACCGUGGCGCGUCCAGAUCACGCCGCAGCUAAGGGGAGCAGGCGUCCUCGGCUAUGCCGACGACAACACGCUGGAGCCAGCCCGCUUCCUUCCUGGCAAGGACAAGGACGGCAAGGACUCCACCGAGCCCAACCCUCUCCACCCAAUCUGGGUCCGGAAGGACCAACAAGUGCUCGGGUACCUGCUCAAUAAUCUCUCAAAAGAGGUGUUGGUGGAGGUGACUGCUAUCACCAUGACGCACGCGCUCUGGACCACUCUGGCAGCCAUGUUCUCCUCGCAGUCGCUUAGCCGUGUCAACAACAUCCGCACGGCUUUGCUGCAUGCGCAGAAGGGAACUCAGCCGGUCGCCACCUUCUCCGCCCACAUGCGCGGCCUCGCUGAUGCACUCGCCGCGGCCGGCAAGCCGUUGCAAGACGGCGAGACCGUCUCCUACAUCAUCCACGCGCUGGACAUGGAGUACCAGCCUCUGGUGUCGGCCCUUGAUGCCCGUACCUUCCCCGUCACCCUAGAUGAGUUGUUCACCAUGCUAAGCAAUUUUGAUUAG